rnacentral:rRNA from 1 species
UACGAAGGGGGCUAGCGUUGUUCGGAAUUACUGGGCGUAAAGGGCGCGUAGGCGGACGUUUAAGUGUGGCCUGAAAGCCCCCGGCUCAACCGGGGAUCCGGGUUGCAAACUGGACGUCUUGAGGGGGAUAGGGGAAGGUGGAAUUCCUGGUGUAGCGGUGAAAUGCGUAGAGAUCAGGAGGAACACCCGUGGCGAAGGCGGCCUUCUGGGUCCGCCCUGACGCUGAGGCGCGAAAGCGUGGAGAGCGAACGGG